rnacentral:lncRNA from 1 species
AUCUCCAUGGAUUUUCCGUUCAUUUAUCCAAUGAGUACCUGCUAUGCAUCAGUCCUGCUUCCCAUCACAAGGUUCCUGAGGACGCCAUACCUGCCAUAGCUAAGGAGGCCAGUUCAUCUACGUACAGCCUGCCUCCCCUGGGUAAGCCUUCCUUGGCAAGGCCUGAAGAAGUUUGUCCAUUCAUUGUAUGCUACAAUUUAUUUGACA